CAUCUUGACCACACCCACCACUUCCAGGGGAAUUGAGGAGGUCUCAGUUUUGUUUUAUAUGUCAUAUAUAUUGAUGUAAAAAAGAAGUUGAGCCACCAAGAAAGCAUUAUAUUCAAGCUGUCAAUCAAGCUGUAUUUCAAAACACAGGACCCACUUGUACAGCUGGCAGAGUGGUGCCAAAUGGGGUGGCAAAAUCUUUGUUGAGCAAUGAACAAAUACAACAAUUCAUAACCUCAACAGUUCUUCCUAAUGGUCGCUCAGUCACCAGCACUGAAGCAGUUGACCCUAAUGUCACCAAUUUCUCAUACACUGUGUAUCCUUCUCAACCAGGGACAAGGAUACAACAGCAGACUGAUUGCACAAAUGUGCAUCCACAACUGACAUUAAAUGUGCUGAGAUCAGGACAGACCCUACCAUGUACGUCCAUCCAACAGCAGUCUCAGGAGACUGUACUGCAAAAGCAAACAGAAUACAACGAUCAGUCUACUGUACAACAGCUGGUCUUAAACAGCCAGGGAAACAUUCAUCCCUCAGCUCAGAAUGGUUUUGCUGUCCAAGUUAUAGACUCGACUUUGGCACAGGCAGAGCUACAACAGCCAAUUUCUGCAAAUGAACUUAUUUUACCCAGAAAUUUUGAGGUCCAAGGUUAUACUCCAAUCACUGUGCCAGAUGAAUGG